AGUGAACGCUGGCGGUAGGCCUAACACAUGCAAGUCGAACGGCAGCACAGUAAGAGCUUGCUCUUACGGGUGGCGAGUGGCGGACGGGUGAGGAAUACAUCGGAAUCUACUUUUUCGUGGGGGAUAACGUAGGGAAACUUACGCUAAUACCGCAUACGACCUACGGGUGAAAGCAGGGGAUCUUCGGACCUUGCGGGUAUGGAUGAGCCGGCGGCGUAUUAGCUAGUUGGGGGGGUAGUGGCCCACCAAGGCGACGAUCGGUAGCUGGCCUGAGAGGAUGACCGGCCACAUUGGCACUGAGAGACGGCCCAGACGGGUACGGGAGGCAGCAGUGGGGAAUAUUGCACAAUCGGCGCAAGCCGGAUGAAGCAACGCUUCGUGUGGGAUGACGGUUUUGUGGGGGAAAAAAGCCUGCAGUAGGGGCGACGCUUGUGGUGACGGUACCUAAAGAAGAAGCACCGGCUAACUACGUG
rnacentral:rRNA from 1 species